CCUUAUUCAGAGUAGCGGAGGGAACAGGCCCUGUGAAGCUCGGCAACCUGCCGGAAGGAGCGCGACGCGCCACCGACUGUGCAAGGUGCCAAAUCCUGCGGUGUCGACCGAAAGAUAAGG
rnacentral:ncRNA from 1 species